rnacentral:misc_RNA from 1 species
GAUGAAGAACGUAGCGAAAUGCGAUAAGUAAUGCGAAUUGCAGAAUUCCAGUGAGUCAUCGAAUCUUUGAACGCACAUUGCGCCCUUUGGUAUUCCGAAGGGCACGCCUGUUCGAGCGUCAUUAUCACCCCUCAAGCCCUCGGCUUGGUGUUGGACGGUUUGGUGGAGGCCCCCUCGGGGGCUCCUGCCCCUCCCAAAGACAAUGACGGCGGCCUCGUUGGACCCCCGGUACACUGAGUUCUUCACGGGACACGUAUCGGACACAUGGGUUUACGGGACACGGUCUGCCUCCCCUCAGGGAGAAUCUUUCUAAGGUUGACCUCGGAUCAGGUAGGGAUACCCGCUGAACUUAAGCAUAUCAAUAACGGAGGA